rnacentral:rRNA from 1 species
GGUUAAGCGACUAAGCGUACACGGUGGAUGCCCUGGCAGUCAGAGGCGAUGAAGGACGUGCUAAUCUGCGAUAAGCGUCGGUAAGGUGAUAUGAACCGUUAUAACCGGCGAUUUCCGAAUGGGGAAACCCAGUGUGUUUCGACACACUAUCAUUAACUGAAUCCAUAGGUUAAUGAGGCGAACCGGGGGAACUGAAACAUCUAAGUACCCCGAGGAAAAGAAAUCAACCGAGAUUCCCCCAGUAGCGGCGAGCGAACGGGGAGCAGCCCAGAGCCUGAAUCAGUGUGUGUGUUAGUGGAAGCGUCUGGAAAGGCGUGCGAUACAGGGUGACAGCCCCGUACACAAAAAUGCACAUGCUGUGAGCUCGAUGAGUAGGGCGGGACACGUGGUAUCCUGUCUGAAUAUGGGGGGACCAUCCUCCAAGGCUAAAUACUCCUGACUGACCGAUAGUGAACCAGUACCGUGAGGGAAAGGCGAAAAGAACCCCGGCGAGGGGAGUGAAAAAGAACCUGAAACCGUGUACGUACAAGCAGUGGGAGCACGCUUAGGCGUGUGACUGCGUACCUUUUGUAUAAUGGGUCAGCGACUUAUAUUCUGUAGCAAGGUUAACCGAAUAGGGGAGCCGAAGGGAAACCGAGUCUUAACUGGGCGUUAAGUUGCAGGGUAUAGACCCGAAACCCGGUGAUCUAGCCAUGGGCAGGUUGAAGGUUGGGUAACACUAACUGGAGGACCGAACCGACUAAUGUUGAAAAAUUAGCGGAUGACUUGUGGCUGGGGGUGAAAGGCCAAUCAAACCGGGAGAUAGCUGGUUCUCCCCGAAAGCUAUUUAGGUAGCGCCUCGUGAAUUCAUCUCCGGGGGUAGAGCACUGUUUCGGCAAGGGGGUCAUCCCGACUUACCAACCCGAUGCAAACUGCGAAUACCGGAGAAUGUUAUCACGGGAGACACACGGCGGGUGCUAACGUCCGUCGUGAAGAGGGAAACAACCCAGACCGCCAGCUAAGGUCCCAAAGUCAUGGUUAAGUGGGAAACGAUGUGGGAAGGCCCAGACAGCCAGGAUGUUGGCUUAGAAGCAGCCAUCAUUUAAAGAAAGCGUAAUAGCUCACUGGUCGAGUCGGCCUGCGCGGAAGAUGUAACGGGGCUAAACCAUGCACCGAAGCUGCGGCAGCGACACUAUGUGUUGUUGGGUAGGGGAGCGUUCUGUAAGCCUGUGAAGGUGUGCUGUGAGGCAUGCUGGAGGUAUCAGAAGUGCGAAUGCUGACAUAAGUAACGAUAAAGCGGGUGAAAAGCCCGCUCGCCGGAAGACCAAGGGUUCCUGUCCAACGUUAAUCGGGGCAGGGUGAGUCGACCCCUAAGGCGAGGCCGAAAGGCGUAGUCGAUGGGAAACAGGUUAAUAUUCCUGUACUUGGUGUUACUGCGAAGGGGGGACGGAGAAGGCUAUGUUGGCCGGGCGACGGUUGUCCCGGUUUAAGCGUGUAGGCUGGUUUUCCAGGCAAAUCCGGAAAAUCAAGGCUGAGGCGUGAUGACGAGGCACUACGGUGCUGAAGCAACAAAUGCCCUGCUUCCAGGAAAAGCCUCUAAGCAUCAGGUAACAUCAAAUCGUACCCCAAACCGACACAGGUGGUCAGGUAGAGAAUACCAAGGCGCUUGAGAGAACUCGGGUGAAGGAACUAGGCAAAAUGGUGCCGUAACUUCGGGAGAAGGCACGCUGAUAUGUAGGUGAAGCGACUUGCUCGUGGAGCUGAAAUCAGUCGAAGAUACCAGCUGGCUGCAACUGUUUAUUAAAAACACAGCACUGUGCAAACACGAAAGUGGACGUAUACGGUGUGACGCCUGCCCGGUGCCGGAAGGUUAAUUGAUGGGGUUAGCGCAAGCGAAGCUCUUGAUCGAAGCCCCGGUAAACGGCGGCCGUAACUAUAACGGUCCUAAGGUAGCGAAAUUCCUUGUCGGGUAAGUUCCGACCUGCACGAAUGGCGUAAUGAUGGCCAGGCUGUCUCCACCCGAGACUCAGUGAAAUUGAACUCGCUGUGAAGAUGCAGUGUACCCGCGGCAAGACGGAAAGACCCCGUGAACCUUUACUAUAGCUUGACACUGAACAUUGAGCCUUGAUGUGUAGGAUAGGUGGGAGGCUUUGAAGUGUGGACGCCAGUCUGCAUGGAGCCGACCUUGAAAUACCACCCUUUAAUGUUUGAUGUUCUAACGUUGACCCGUAAUCCGGGUUGCGGACAGUGUCUGGUGGGUAGUUUGACUGGGGCGGUCUCCUCCUAAAGAGUAACGGAGGAGCACGAAGGUUGGCUAAUCCUGGUCGGACAUCAGGAGGUUAGUGCAAUGGCAUAAGCCAGCUUGACUGCGAGCGUGACGGCGCGAGCAGGUGCGAAAGCAGGUCAUAGUGAUCCGGUGGUUCUGAAUGGAAGGGCCAUCGCUCAACGGAUAAAAGGUACUCCGGGGAUAACAGGCUGAUACCGCCCAAGAGUUCAUAUCGACGGCGGUGUUUGGCACCUCGAUGUCGGCUCAUCACAUCCUGGGGCUGAAGUAGGUCCCAAGGGUAUGGCUGUUCGCCAUUUAAAGUGGUACGCGAGCUGGGUUUAGAACGUCGUGAGACAGUUCGGUCCCUAUCUGCCGUGGGCGCUGGAGAACUGAGGGGGGCUGCUCCUAGUACGAGAGGACCGGAGUGGACGCAUCACUGGUGUUCGGGUUGUCAUGCCAAUGGCACUGCCCGGUAGCUAAAUGCGGAAGAGAUAAGUGCUGAAAGCAUCUAAGCACGAAACUUGCCCCGAGAUGAGUUCUCCCUGACUCCUUGAGAGUCCUGAAGGAACGUUGAAGACGACGACGUUGAUAGGCCGGGUGUGUAAGCGCAGCGAUGCGUUGAGCUAACCGGUACUAAUGAACCGUGAGGCUUAACCUU